UUAUCUCUGUAGAGUCUGCAUAUCAAUAAGCGGAGGAAAAGAAACUAACUAAGGAUUCCCUUAGUAACUGGCGAGUGAAGCGGGAAGAGCUCAAAUUUGAAAUCUUCAAGGUUUUACCUUGACGAAUUGUAGUUUAUAGAAGUGUUUUCUGUUAGUGGAGUUGGUAAAAGUUCUUUGGUAUAGGACAUCAUAGAGGGUGAGAAUCCCGUAUUUGACCAUUACUUCCUAGCGUUGUGAUACACUUUCAAAGAGUCGGAUUGUUUGGGAAUGCAGUCCAAAAUGGGUGGUAAAUUUCAUCUAAAGCUAAAUACUGGCGAGAGACCGAUAGCGAACAAGUACCGUGAGGGAAAGAUGAAAAGAACUUUGAAAAGAGAGUUAAACAGUACGUGAAAUUGUCAAAAGGGAAGCGUUUGACACCAGUGUUGUUUUCUCGAAAAUCAAUUAAAAAUGGCGGGAUUUUGUGUUGUAUUGACUUUAUCAGCUUUCUGCACUUUUUUCCUGUCUUUUUUAAUGCACUUUUCGUUUAACAAGUCAACAUCAAUUUCUUUUGUUGUAAAAGGGUCAUUGGAAGGUGGCUUUCUUUUCGGAGAAAGUGUUUAUAGCCUUUGGCCUCUGCAAUCGGAGAGAUUGAGGUCUGCAGCGUAGAUCCUUCGGGGUUAGAUACAUUUGUGCUAAGUUAUAGCCUUUCAUAGACAACUUGUUGACUAUGAUCAGUCAUGUAGCUUACUCGCUUAUGCUAUUUUACCUACGCUUAGGAUGUUGAGUCAUCACACAUCUCU
rnacentral:rRNA from 1 species